rnacentral:rRNA from 1 species
UACAGAGGUCCCAAGCGUUGUUCGGAUUCACUGGGCGUAAAGGGUGCGUAGGUGGCUGGGUAAGUCUGAUGUGAAAUCUCCGAGCUCAACUCGGAAAUGGCAUUGGAAACUAUCCGGCUAGAGGAGUGGAGGGGGGACUGGAAUACUUGGUGUAGCAGUGAAAUGCGUAGAUAUCAAGUGGAACACCAGUGGCGAAGGCGAGUCCCUGGACACUUCCUGACACUGAGGCACGAAAGCUAGGGGAGCAAACAGG